GAUGAACGCUGGCGGCGUGCCUAAUACAUGCAAGUCGAGCGAACAGACGAGGAGCUUGCUCCUCUGACGUUAGGGGCGGACGGGUGAGUAACACGUGGAUAACCCACCUAUAAGACUGGGAUAACUUCGGGAAACCGGAGCUAAUACCGUAUAAUAUCUUGAACCGCAUGGUUCAAUAGUGAAUGACGGUUUUGCUGUCACUUAUAGAUGGAUACGCGCGUGUUUAGCUGGUUGUUAGGGUAACGGCCUACCAAGGCAACUCUGCGUAGCCGACGUGAGAGAGUGGUCGGCGACAUGAGAACGUGGACGCGGACCAGAGUACUGCGGGAGGGACCAGUAGCGAAUGGUCGGCAGAGGGGGGAAACAUGACGGAACGAGGGCAAGUGAGUGAUGGAAGUGUCCGGAUCGUGAAACCCUGUUAUGAGGGAAGAACAAAUGUGUAAGUAACUAUGCCCGUCGUGACGGUACCGAGUCAAGAAGCCCCGGCUAACUACGUG
rnacentral:rRNA from 1 species